GACAUUAAUUUAAACACACAGUCUGAGCUGUAGUGGCUCACGUCCAACUACCUAUUUUGUUGUUGUUUUGAUCAUCUCCAUGAAUCGGUGGUUAGUUAGUAGUGUUCUGGUUGAAUGGAUGGUUAGUUAGUAGUGUUCUGGUUGAAUGGAUGGUUAGUUAGUAGUGAUCUGGUUGAAUGGAUGGUUAGUUAGUAGUGUUCUGAUUGAAUGGAUGGGUAGUUAGUAGUAUUCUGUUUGAAUGGAUGGUUAGUUAGUAGUGUUCUGGUUGAAUGGAUAGUAAGUUAGUAGUGUUCUGGUUGAAUGGAUGCUUAGUUAGUAGAGUUCUGAUUGAAUGGAUGGGUAGUUAGUAGUAUUCUGGUUGAAUGGAUGGUUAGUUAGUAAUGUUCUGGUUGAAUGGAUAGUUAGUUAGUAGUGUUCUGGUUGAAUGGAUGGUUAGUUAGUAGUUAGUGUUCUGGUUGAAUGGAUAGUUAGUUAGUAGUGUUCUGGUUGAAUGGAUGGUUAGUUAGUAGUGUUCUGAUUGAAUGGAUGGGUAGUUAGUAGUAUUCUGGUUGAAUGGAUGGUUAGUUGGUAAUGUUGUGGUUGAAUGGAUGGUUAGUUAGUGGUGUUCUGGUUGAAUGGAUGGUUACUAGUGUUCUGGUUGAAUGGAUGGUUAGUUAGUGGUGUUCUGGUUGUGUUCUUGUUGAAUGGAUGGUUAGUUAGUAGUGUUCUGGUUGAAUGGAUGGUUACUAGUGUUCUGGUUGAAUGGAUAGUUAGUUAGUGGAGUUCUGGUUGAAUUGAUGGUUAGUUAGUGGUGUUCUGGUUGUCUUCUGGUUGAAUGGAUGGUUAGUUAGUGGAGUUCUGGUUGAAUUGAUGGUUAGUUAGUGGUGUUCUGGUUGUGUUCUGGUUGAUUGGAUGGUUAGUUAGUGGUGUUCUGGUUGAAUGGAUGGUUAGUUAGUGGUGCUCUGGUUGAAUGGAUGGUUAGUUAUUGGUGUUUUGGAUGAUUAGUUAGUGGUGUUCUGGUUGAAUGGAUGGUUAGUUAGUGGUGUUUUGGAUGAUUAGUUAGUGGUGUUCUGGUUGAAUGGAUGGUUAGUUAGUGGUGUUUUGGAUGAUUAGUUAGUGGUGUUCUGAUUAAAUGGAUGGUUAGGUAGUGGUGUUCUGAUUUAAUGGAUGGUUUGUUGGUAGUGCUCUGGUUGAGGUCUGGUUCUGUGGAUGGAGGGUGUACACGGAGAAGAAGUUGGAGCUCUCUGGCGUUACCUUCCUGUGUUCAGUUCAGUCAACACAUCCAGGGUCAGGUGAAGGAAGGGUGUGGUGUUGAGAUGAGUUGCCCUUCAGAUGGUCAAACAGACCAGUGGAGGAUGGGAAGAAAGAGAGAAGUGAGAGAGGAGUGAAAUGGUAGAGGACAGUGGAUGGACCCCUGAGAUGGAAACACAGUGAAAUAUUUACAUUACCCAGAGAGAAGAAAAGGCACUGCGGCCUCCCACUCUCUCUCCCCCUCCCCUCCUUCAUCCCUCCAUUCUCCCCACCUCAUCACAUGUGUGCUGUAUGCCGCGGUAUAAUCAACAUGCACUCACUUAAGUGGCUAUAGGCUAUGUAACAUCAGCCAACAGGGUUUUAGUAAGUGCUGCUGGUGUGUGUGUGUGUGUGUGUGUGUGUGUGUGUGUGUGUGUGUGUGUGUGUGUGUGUGUGUGUGUGUGUGUGUGUGUGUGUGUGUGUGUGUGUGUGUGUGUGUGUGUGUGUAGAUGGGCCCAGCUCGCUGCUGUGGUUGGUGAUGGAAGAUCAUGUUUCUCUCCUCCACCUCACACUCCUCUCCUCUCUUAUUCACACUCCAGUGGGACUGUGGAUGUCACAUUCUACUUCACACUCUGCACUAUCCUGCUUACACCAUACACACACACACUGGCAUGUGCACACUAACAUGCACACUGGCAUAACACCUUUCAUUUCAUUCUCUGUGCAUGCACAAAUACAC
rnacentral:lncRNA from 1 species